rnacentral:tRNA from 1 species
UCCCUGGUAGCUCAGAUGGUAAAGCGUCUGCCUGCAAUGCAGGAGACCUGGGUUCUAUCCCUGGGUGGGGAA